rnacentral:piRNA from 1 species
GCAGUUCUAUGAAAGUACCACAUGCCA